CACAGGCAGAGGGAGAAGCAGGCUCCAUGCAGGAAGCCCGAUGCGGGACCCGAUCCUGGAUCUCCAGGAUCACACCCCGGGCUGCAGGCGGCGUUAAACCGCUGCGCCACCGGGGCUGCCCAACAGUUAUUUUCCUAAAGCAAUAUCGAACCACUUGUGUCACACCUGUUCUCGGGCCACAGCGUACCAUUAGGACUUGGGGACAUGUUUGAGAAGCAGCAUGACAUAGUGAAAGGAGGUGGAAGACCUGGGUUCUAGUCCCAGUUCUGUCACUAACUUGCUGUGCGAACCAGGAUGGAACACCAGUUCUCUGGAGGUGCAGAACCAUUGCUGGGGUUGUCCUCAGAAGUCACUGAAAACCACUGUGGAAUCACCCUGGCCUUUGCAUUUUACAGGCAAGGUCAUCCUAGCCCCUUGUCCUGUUUUCAAGGGGUGCUAAUAUAUGCCAGGCCCCACCCCAUGGGGAUCUGUGGCUGCCCUUCUGAAGGAGGAAAGGCUGACUCGAACAUAUU